CCAUGCUGAAGCCUUUCUUGUGUUCGUUUGCCAAAACACGCAGUAGAGCCAGGAGCCAAGGCAUUCCUCUGCUCCCUGUUCACAGGCAAGAGAUGGAAUCAUUUCUUUUGGACACGCUGUUGAACUGCAUUAUCAACCAGACCGACUGAGAGCGUAAGGCCGGAUGCAGCAGGCUCCUUGGAGUUACAGCACAUGCCAGGCCCGGGAGCACAGUGGGAACGAUAUCCAGACUGUUGUAUGUGCAGCAGCAGAACCAGGGAGCUUCUCCACAAAUUGACUGAGCGGGGUAAGAAAAAUGAAAAGCCUGGGAUUCCAGCUUAUUGCAAGAAAUAUCCAGAAAGGGCACAGCAGGAAUGCCGGCAGCAGCCUGGGUGCCCAGCCUUGCUCCUGAAAGGUAUUUUGGCUUUGUGUAGAUGUAGCCAGACAAUGUGAAUGAUCCAUUUGAAAUCAAGCCUCUGUCCACAGCGGUCUAUUUCCAUCCUCAUGGAAACUCUCACUAAGGGAAAGAACACAGUAAUCAUGGAGCCACGAGAAACAGAAUGUCAUCACCAUUUUAUCUUGAUGCUGUCCAUGAAAGUAAAUAUUC
rnacentral:lncRNA from 1 species